UCAUGUAACCCAGGUUAAUGGGUCUGACAAACAAGGGAGCCAAGCUUGUUGCCAGGUAGGUGAGAAGAUGGGGAAGACUGCAGAGUGCUCAUCUCGCCAUGGGUGUUGAGCCUUGUGAUUGUGCAAACCCUGGGGGAUGGCAGGUGACUAAGCCAAUCGCAGGGGGGAAGAGAGGAGUGCUGGUGAUCUCCUAUCUCUCUCUGCCUGCAGUGUUGCCUAUUUUGCCCUGAAAAGGGUUUGCUGAUCUACUCUGGGAGAGACCGACCAGACUUAGAUCCCCUCACCGUGUGGGGGCUUUUUCCACUGUGAGUAAUGCCUAUUGCUGCUGCAGAGAGGUUGCCCCCUGGGUGAAUCAGCGCCCUGAUCACUUCCCCACACUCAAGCACCUUCAGGCCUGCAACAUCUCAUCAAGGCUGUGCUGGAAAACACAUGAAGUCACAUGACUACACACUCCCCGGGGUUCCUGACCAAAAGUGUCUGCUGUUUGACCAAUUCAGACUGUUUUGCUAUCUGUACAGCUGGUAUCUGCUGGUAGGAAGUCAUGUGACCACAGAAGAGCCAGCUGCCCUAUCUCAACUAUUACUGGUUGAAGAGAAGAAGCAAAUGGCCUCGAGAGUGACUGCACAGACACUGCUUGUAGGUAGCUCAGGGAUAAGAGAAGAGCUGAGAUAAAAACAGCAGCUGUGCUUUGGAACUGAGCUUCUGCUUGACAGUAAUUUGGAGAGAUGGCCUCUCACCACCAUAAACUGGUGAACACUCAGGCAUCUUCACCCCAGGACUCUUGAGUUGAUAAAAGGCCACUUGUUGCCAUGCCACUCUGUACCUGACGCAGAAUAAUCUCCA